ensembl:lncRNA MEG8 maternally expressed 8, small nucleolar RNA host gene
UUAUCCUUCAGAUAGUGAUUUCUCAAAUGUUUUCCUAAAGGGAAGAUGAUAAACACAGAUCAUGGAGGACUGUUUUAUCUGUUUGUGAUCUGCCGUCCUCUGUGAGCCUCAGGAUGGAUGUUUGCCAGCCGAUUCCAUGGUUACAAGCUCUAUAGCUGCAUCUAUGUGUUAGGAGCAUGAAGACCAAUAAUGGAUGCACUGAGCUGAUUAUGAAUUUAGCCCUGAUGAAGACUUGUGUUGCUGUCAUGAUAUGAAAGAUUCCAGUAAUGAACGCACUUGAGUUGAUUCAAGCACGCUUCCAUGGUCAUGAGCUCUGUGGUUGCAUCUGUGUGUUAGGAGCAUGCAGACCAAUAGUGAUAAUCUCGAGGUGAUUUAUGCAUUCUUCCAUGGCCACCAGCCUUAUGAUUGCAUCUGUGCGUCACAGCUUAGAGAUCAAUAAUGGAUGCAACAAGCUCUUUGAAUCAUUCUGUUGGGAUCAAGAUUGUUGUGUUCCCUCUGUUUGGAAAGAGACCAAGAAUGGAUACGCUCAGGUGAUUUAAGCAGUCUUCCAUGGCCACGAGCUCUGUGGUUGCCUCUGUAUAUUAAGAGCACAGAGAUUAAAAAUGGGUGCACUUGAGCCGAUUGAAACAUUCCUCCUUGCAUCUUUCUUCUGUGAUUGCAUCUAUUUGUUAGUAGCAUAGAGACCAAUAAUAGAUGGCUUGUGCUGAUGGAAGGAUUCCUCCCUGGUGACAUGCUGUGUCUGCCUCUUGAUUGGGAGCACGCAGACCUACAAUGAUGCACUUUUUAUGAUUUGAGAAUUCCUUCAUGGUCACGUGCUCUGUUUUUAUCAUGGUUGGGAGCCUGCAGAGCAAUAAGGGACAUGCCUUUGCUGAUUUGAGGAUUCCUCUGAGGUUGGGAGCUAAGUUUGCAUCAUGCUUAGAAAGGAGUGUGCAGACCUGUAAUGAUUGCACUUUGCUGAUUGAAGGAUUCCUUCAAGUCCAUGUGCUCCACUUGCACCAUUUUUAGGAUGGAGCCUGGAGACCUAUAAUGAACAACUUGUGCUGUGUUAAGGAUUCCUCCAUGAUCACGCGCCCCAUUUGUACACCAUGCUUGGGAAGGUGCAUGCAGACCAAUAAUGGACGUACUUGUGAUGAUUUAAAGAUGCCUCCAAGGUCACGUGCUCUGUUUGCACCAUGCUUAGGAAGGAGCGUACAGACCAAAAAUGGAUGAAUUGUGCACCUUGAAAAGUUCUUCCAUGGUCACCUGAGGCAUCUGCGUCAUGAUUAGGCUCCGGAUGACUAAUAAUGGACGUACUUGUUCUGAUUUGAGGACUUCUUCAUGGUCACAUGUUCUGUUUGCACCAUGCUUAGGAAGGAGCAUGUGUACCAAUAAUGGAAGCACAGAAGCUGGUUUUAAUAGUUAAGAGCUGUAUGGUCCAUCUCUGUGCUAGAAGCUGGAGACCAAUAACAGUCACUCCCUGCACUGAUUCUGCCAUGACCACUUGCUCUAUGGUUGUUUUAAGGAACCUACAGACAAAUAAUGGAUUAUCAUUGGUGAAGAUCUUAGCUGUUCCAUAGAAGGAACACACUUAUCACUACAGUGAUUCUGUAAUGAUGAAGACCUUUAUGGGUCAGUGAUGGGUAGACCAGAGCUGAUUAAAUUAUUCUCCCAUUGAUGAGGAACUUUACCUUAUCCCUCAGAGUAAGGAGAAUGUCAUAUAAUGUAAGUAAUAAAGUUCUUGAGUUGGGUUGUUGGUUCAUGAUUUCUACUGUCAUUUAAAAAGAUAAUUAAAUUUUAAAAGGUCAUACUAGGCCUAUGAUGAGAAUGUGUUGUGGACCGAAAUUAAUCCAAUUUAGCACAAAUGAAGUGUAAGAAAAAAUUUAGCUUUCCCAUUCAUUUUCAAUAGUUAAAUGUCACAUUGUAUGUUUGUCUCAUUGAUUAUUUAAAGACUCUUCUCUUGAUAAAGGCUGUUACUCAUUUAUGGAGUCAGUAUUCUAGUUGUUGAGUAGGAUGGUGGUUCAAGUUUGUUCAUUUGAUAUCUAAAAGUUGUUCAAAUUAAAUGUAGAGGGGCCAUGUCUGGACCAAUGAUGUGAAUGGAAUGCAUCUGAAUAAAAAUUAUGAUCAAUCAGUUUUUGGAACAACUGAGGUCCACUGCAAAAUGAAGAACUAAUAUGUAAACCUUUGUGGGAAUAAUGUCAGGAAAGUUUGAGAAUCUAGUUCUGGAGCUUGAGAGGGUUCACAGGUACUGAUUUUAUAUGAUUAGCAGAUCCACUUGUGUGGAUCAACACACAAGUAUAUUCAUGAGUAAAGAAAAAGAGGUUAAGACAUGGACCAAUUCUGAGGGCAUGUUGUAAAGCAAGGAAUAUAAUUAAUUCAAUUCUGAAAUACCUUGGUCCAUCAAGAAAAAAAACAGAUUAAAUUUGUCACCACUUUGGGUAAGAAGCAUCUAGAUAGAAGUACUUAAUAGUCAAUGUUCUGUUCUUAGUUUGCUGUGGGUUCCCAGAUGUUUGAUUCAUUAAGACAAAAAAAUUAAAAUUAAACAAACAAAUACGUGUAUAACUAAAUAAAUGGGUGCCAAGUAUGAACCAAUGAUAAGGGUACUUCAUUAUUUUCUAUAUCUGCUUUGUAACCCCACAGAACAGAGGUAACUUGGCUGUUUUAAUAAUUAUUUAAAGGAUGAAGAUCUUGACUGUUACCCAUGUGGCAAGGAGAGUGUAGAACAGGGUGAGUCAGAUUAAGUUUUUAUUCUUGGUUUAGCCUUUUGUUAGAGAUGAUGAUUAAUUAUUAUUUGAAAAGAAGAAAUGACUUUAUGCAGUCAUAAAAUCCAAGAAGACCAUGCCUGAACCAAUGAUAAGAAUGAAUCCUGCCAAGUGUCAUGGUUAAUUCAUUUUGCAAAACGAGAUCCAUUUAAAAAGAGGUUUGGUUUGCUAUCUCUUAGAUUAAGGAGAUUAUAGGCAGAUUCUAGCCUUGGUCAAAGAUCUUGUUUUUGGGUUAGUUGUGGUUCUCUUGAGUUUUGUUAUUUUAUUAAAAAUAAUAAAUAGUUAAACAAGUACAAAGCAUUUAUGCUAGUAAAAUUACAAUGGCCACUCAUGACCAAUUUGGAGAUUAUAUCAUGAAACAAGGAUUUGUUUAACUUUGGUUAACUGUUUUAUCACUGUUUGAGGAGGUCAUGGAAAGAUUUAAAUGAUAGUCAAUUUCUCCCCUCUUUCUUGGGAGUAGAUUCUUUGUUGUUGACUUUGUUUUUGAAAAUGAGUGACUGACUAAAUUAAUGAACGACAAAAACACUAGAAUGGACAAGAAUAUUCAAAUGAUGACAUUUCAUGAAGCAAGAAUUAUGAUCAACACAAUUCUGCUUCCCUGAAAUCCAUUUAACAGAAAAGAGUCAAUCUGUUUUCUCUGUGUAUAAUGAGGUCAGAAACAGGUGUUAAAAUAUUCAGUGUUCUUGUUUUUGUAUUUUGGUGGGUUCAUGGAGUUGAUUAUUAUGAUUAAGGAAAUAAGUAUAUGAAAAAGUAAAUUACAAGAGGGUAAAUCAUGAACCAGUGAUUAAAAUGUGUUUUGAAACAAAGAUUGUAGGUAUUUCAGUUCUGCACUGUGGACUUUUAUGAAAUGAAACCUUAAUCUUUUGUAUCUUUAUUUUAAUAGUACAUAGUACCAUUCUGCAUAUACUAUGGAUAUAUUUUAGACAUUUUCUCAUGCUACUUACAUUCAGUUUUUUUCACUAUCUGAGUUAUAAAUUCUAGUGAAUUGAUUUAUUUGGAGGUGGUGGUAGGAAACCCCUAUGCCCCAUAUUUUAAAAUUUUCUGGCAGCUGAUAUCUAAGAGAGUACUAAAAUGACUAAUAUUAAGGUAUUAAUUUCAGCUCAACAAGUAUUGAUGCUAACUCUUGUCAGACCCCAUAUGAGGAGUGAAAUUUAUAUAUGAAUUUAGUCUAGUUCCACUCAUUGAGUAGCUCUGUGAGAUUAGAUGGAGACCCACUUACAAAUGCAGCAAUUCAAUAGAAUAGGGCAGGUAGAUGGGUUCUCUGUGAGACUAGAGGGAGACCCACUUAUACAUGCAGCAAUUUGAUAAAAUAGGACAGGUAGAUGGGCUUUCUAGAAGCACAGAAGGUAUGCCUUCAGCUCAAUCUCAGUGUCAGUUGAGUUGUGGAAGAGAUGACUCCUGAGCCAGUGACAGACUCAUUAGUCCAUAGCUCCGCAAAGCUGGGGACCACACUCCUCUCCUUCACUGCUCUGCCCCUUGUGCCUUACAUGGACAGCACAUGCAAUAAGCAUCUGUUGAAUGAAUAGGUGAAUACAUGGUGAAUAAAAGAAUGGAGGAGUGAAGCAGUAUAUGAACAAAUGAGUCUUUGAGUAGACAAAGGAACGAAUAAA